rnacentral:rRNA from 1 species
GACGGAGGGUGCGAGCGUUGUUCGGAAUCACUGGGCGUAAAGGGCGUGUAGGCGGUCCGCUAAGUCUGAUGUGAAAGCCCGGGGCUCACCCCCGGAAGUGCAUUGGAAACUGGCGAACUCGAGUCCCGGAGAGGAGAGUGGAAUUCCUGGUGUAGCGGUGAAAUGCGUAGAUAUCAGGAGGAACACCGGUGGCGAAGGCGGCUCUCUGGACGGUGACUGACGCUGAGAAGCGAAAGCAUGGGGAGCGAACAGG